GAUGAACGCUAGCGGCAGGCUUAACACAUGCAAGUCGAGGGGUAUUGGUUUUCGGACCAAGAGACCGGCGCACGGGUGCGUAACGCGUAUGCAAUCUACCUUUUGCAGAGGGAUAGCCCAGAGAAAUUUGGAUUAAUACCUCAUAGUAUAGUACUUUGGCAUCAAGGAACUAUUAAAGUCACAACGGCAAAAGAUGAGCAUGCGUCCCAUUAGCUAGUUGGUAAGGUAACGGCUUACCAAGGCUACGAUGGGUAGGGGUCCUGAGAGGGAGAUCCCCCACACUGGUACUGAGACACGGACCAGACUCCUACGGGAGGCAGCAGUGAGGAAUAUUGGACAAUGGGCGCAAGCCUGAUCCAGCCAUGCCGCGUGCAGGAUGACGGUCCUAUGGAUUGUAAACUGCUUUUGUAACAGGAAGAAACACUACUUCGUGAAGUAGCUUGACGGUACUGUAAGAAUAAGGAUCGGCUAACUCCGUGCCAGCAGCCG
rnacentral:rRNA from 1 species